UUUGAAGACGGAGAUAACAGAAUGAGGUUACAGUGUAGAUUAGAUUUAUAAUUUGUUUUUCCUAAAACUGUAUCUUAGCUGCAAUAUAUAAUUUGCUAAAUUAUUGCUAUGAGCAUUGCUACAUGAGUUAGUUCGAACACUGCUAUUUUUCAAGUGAUGUUAUGAAAACACACACAUUAAGAAACAAGAAUUGGACGUCAAUAAGAACAUUGCUAAUAAAGGCCCUUCUAUUAUAACUAUAUUGUUUCUCUAUUUUACUUUGAGUCAUUCGAAUAUUGAGCAGUUAUACAGAUAACAAUAAAGACUGUAAUUUGUAGAUGAAGUACUCAGUAUUUUAUGGUCU